rnacentral:piRNA from 1 species
UAGAGCCUCUGUAAUGUCUGCAGUUUGCUC